CUAGGCUUUCGGCUAACCGCCCUGUAUCAAUAGAUACUGGGAGGAAAGUCCGGGCAGCAUAGGGAAGGACAGUCGUUAACGGCGACCAGAGGUAACUCUAGGGAAAGUGCCACAGAAACGAAACUACCCAGUACCUUACAGAGCUAAAUAUUGAGUUGAGCUAUUGAGCACUGCAAGGUGCUGGGUACAGGUGAAACGAGUGGGGUAAAAGCCCACAGCCCCUGACGGUGACGCCAGGGGGAGGUAAACCCUGUCUGCUGCAAGGAGAUAGGCCUAUUGGUUCCCGCCAAGGCUUGUCGAUAUCCGCUUGAUCCUUUGAGCAAUCUGAGGACUAGAUAGAUGGUUGGCUAAAACAGAACCCGGCUUACGGAUUGCCUAGUACU
rnacentral:RNase_P_RNA from 1 species